UCUAAGCACAAGCCCUUGAAUGGUGAAGCCGCGAAUGGCUCAUUACAACAGCCAUAGUUUAUUAGAUCUUUACUUCUACUAGGAUACCUGCGAAAAAUUUGGAGCUGAUACUUGCGAAAAGCUUGAACCUCACGGAACAAGCGCAUUUAUUAGUAUAAACCAUUCGGGCCUUCGGGCUCGCCAUUUGGUGAAUCUGAAUAACUUUGCUGAUCGCACGGUCUCGUACCGGCGACAAAUCUUUCAAGUGUCUGCCUUAUCAACUUUCGAUGGUAGUUUACACGCCUACCAUGGUUGUAACGGGUAACGGAGAAUCAGGGUUCGACUCCGGAGAGGGCGCCUGAGAAACGGCUACCACAUCCAAGGAAGGCAGCAGGCGCGCAAAUUACCCACUCCCGGCAAGGGGAGGUAGUGACGAAAAAUAACGAGGCGGUUCUCUAUGAGGCCCGCCAUCGGAAUGGGUACAAUUUAAA
rnacentral:rRNA from 1 species